AUUGAACGCUGGCAGCAUGCUUUACACAUGCAAGUCGAACGGCAGCACGGACUUCGGUCUGGUGGCGAGUGGCGAACGGGUGAGUAAUACAUCGGAACGUGCCCAGUUGUGGGGGAUAACUACUCGAAAGAGUGGCUAAUACCGCAUGGGAACUGAGGUUGAAAGCAGGGGAUCGUAAGACCUUGCGCAACUGGAGCGGCCGAUGGCAGAUUAGGUAGUUGGUGGGAUAAAAGCUUACCAAGCCGACGAUCUGUAGCUGGUCUGAGAGGACGACCAGCCACACUGGGACUGAGACACGGCCCAGACUCCUACGGGAGGCAGCAGUGGGGAAUUUUGGACAAUGGGCGAAAGCCUGAUCCAGCAAUGCCGCGUGCAGGAUGAAGGCCUUCGGGUUGUAAACUGCUUUUGUACGGAACGAAAAGCUUCGGGCUAAUACCCUGGAGUCAUGACGGUACCGUAAGAAUAAGCACCGGCUAACUACGUGCCAGCCGCCGCGGUAAAAC
rnacentral:rRNA from 1 species